AUGGGCAUUUUACAGCAAGUGGACAGGUUUCUAAGAUCAAGGAGUGGUUAAGGAGAUUAAGAAACUUCUGUAAAUAAGUGAAGUUUAUUCAAAGAAUGAAAACAUGAAGCAGGAUUACCUGGUUAGCAAAAAUAAGGUACAGCAGAGCUUUCUUGCGCUCAGAGACAAUGGAUAGCACUUCGGCACGACACGUGGGGCAAUUUAGAAAAGUAAAAUCAUCAACAAAAGGCACAAAAGUGGAAGAACUGUGGCACUUAAACAGACCACAGAAAGGACACUUGCUUGCGGGAUGAGAGGUAAAACGAAAAGAAUUAAAGUAGCAGUUGCGAGUGGGUCCAGAGAAGAGUCAAGCAACGUAAGGAUGGUGAUUACUCUCAGUAGGUAAUGAAGCACAAAUACAUGGUAUUGGUACCUUAACUGAAGAAAUGCGGGUAAUAAAUUAAGCCAUUCUCACAGUAUUUCUCAGGAUGACUGCUUGUUUUCACACUGAUACAAGGUUC